rnacentral:rRNA from 1 species
UACAGAGGUCCCGAGCGUUGUUCGGAUUCACUGGGCGUAAAGGGUGCGUAGGUGGUGAGGUAAGUUUGAUGGUGAAAACUCUCCGGGCUCAACCCGGAAAUGGCAUUGAAUACUAUCUUGCUAGGAGGAGUGGAGGGGGGACUGGAAUACUUGGUGUAAGCAGUGAAAUGCGUAGAUAUCAAGUGGAACACCAGUGGCGAAGGCGGGUCUCUGGGCCGAUACUGACGCUGAGGAGCGAAAGCGUGGGGAGCGAACAGG